GGAGGAAUUCCCGAGUGGCCAAAGGGGGCAGACUGUAAAUCUGUUGCGUUUCGCUUCGAUGGUUCGAAUCCAUCUUCCUCCA
rfam:Clostridium novyi NT, complete genome.